GAUUUUCUUUGGAAUGAAGCUUUAUCCUUGCCACACAAAAGAUCGUGUGGAAGAAAUUUCUCUGUUCGAUAGAACGAGAGGCUUCUAUUGCAAGACCUUCUAUGCUGAAGCACUUGUUUAUAUGAAGGCUUCACUAUCCAAAUCCUGUCUUCACUGGCUUCAAGAAUCCUGUCUUCACUGGCUUCAAAACUGGGAUGAAGGAGGCUCCUUAGUGGAGAGCAAAGCAAAGAGAAACUCAAAUUGGAUUCAUAUUAAAGAAGAGAAGGAUGGAUUUGUUUAGACAACACAAACCUAGGAAGGGUUUGAGGGGUGAAACAAACUGGGUUAUGGAUGAACGGGGGCAAUUGGAAUGUAGAAUUGAAACAGUAGUUAACAUCUUGGUUUCAUCUGGGUGUUUGGCAUCAUGUUCAGAAAUGCGAAAAAUAAAAUUCAGCACCGUUA
rnacentral:antisense_RNA from 1 species